GGGGUCAUUUCUGAGUGCGUUGGGCCGCAACUGGCAUCCGGAACAUUUCAACUGUGCUGGAUGUAGGAAAUCUCUGCAGAAUAAAGGCUUCGUUGAAGAGUCAGAUAAUCUGUAUUGUGAAAAUUGUUAUGAUAUGAAGUUCGCGCCACAUUGUGAUGUCUGUAAUGAAGCUAUUGUUGGGGUAAGUCUUUAUCGUACCGUGUGCAUUCUAAUAGACGCCCAAUGUCUAAUAAUCGCCCGCUUCGUGUCGGAAAUUUCUUUCUUUCUUAAUUAGUACCAGGGGCGUAGGAAUCUUUAUAAACUUAUGGGGGGGUAGCGGGCAAUUCCGAGAGGCGCCACCUCAUCGGAUAUGGAAUUUUCAGAGUCUCCUUCAACUCUUUCGUUUGGCCAUUUCAUUAAUUAUUUCAUGAUUUCAUAUGGAGUAUUAUUAGUCGGCCGGCCAAGGUAGCAAAAAGUACCUCUAAAGAGAGUUUGAUGGCAACUUUAUGUUAGAAGCUGGCCAUGGUAACAGGCAUUUUCUUAUAGUUUAAGCCUUGGUGAAUAAGACUGUUUGUGUUACCACUUCUGAUUUUUGCUUUAUAGCCAAAAAAUUGAGAAUUUUAAAAUUUUGCCUAUUAAAUUACUAUGAUGGCAAAAAAUGUAAAAUUUCAUGUUCUCUUAUACAAAAAAUAAACUAUACCACUAGAAAGAGCUCAAAAAACUAUAUAUAAGAUAACUAAGCGACUAGUGCGAUUUUCAAGCCGAUUUUGAAUUAAAGAUUGUUAAAGUUGGCAAAAUGGGUACUAAUUAGCAUUAAUUUGGUCAUUUCUGCAUUUUUUAACAUUAAAAACUCGAAAUAGGAUUGGACAAACGUAGAACUCACUUAAUUGUCUUGUAUAUAGUUUUUUACGCUCUUUCUAAUGGUAUAGUUUAUUUUUCGUAUAAGAGAAAAUGAAAUUUUACAUUUUUUCCGAUCAUAGUAAUUUAAUAGGCAAAAUUUAAAAAUUCUCAAAUUUUUGGCUAUAAAGCUAAAAUCAGAAGUGGUAACACAUAUAGUCUUGUUCACCAAGGCUUGAACUAUAAGAAAAUGCCUGUUACCAGCUUCUAACAUAAAGUUGCCAUCCAGUUGAACAAAUUGAUCACUUGGCCGGCCGUCUAUAUUAUUAAUUGGCCGAUCAACACAAAUUUUAGAUAAAAUUCAAUUACAAGCUAGCUAAUCUUAUCGCAAUUUCUGAUUAUUUCUUUAUUCUAUUGAUUCUAAUAGACGUCUGCAAUCUAAUGAGUUUUAUACUAAGGUAAAAACAUACCUGC